GAUGAAGAACGCAGCGAAAUGCGAUAACUAGUGUGAAUUGCAGAAUUCAGUGAACCAUCGAGUCUUUGAACGCACAUUGCGGCCGCCGGUAUUCCGGCGGCCAUGCCUGUCCGAGCGCCGCUAGCACCCUCGGGCCCCCCCCCCAUUGCGGGAGGGGGCUCGGCGUUGGGGAGGCUGCCAGCCACGCGGCAGCCCCCCGGAAGUUAGCAGCGGCAGCGUCACGGUGCGGCGCGCAAAGUAAGCAAGCUCAGCGCGCCGGCCGUGCGCCGCCAGCAGGCACGGACCCAGACCACCUCAAGAGUUGGCCUCGGAUCAGGCAGGGCUACCCGCUGAACUUAAGCAUAUCAAUAAGCGGAGGA
rnacentral:misc_RNA from 1 species